rnacentral:rRNA from 1 species
UACGUAGGGUGCAAGCGUUGUCCGGAAUUAUUGGGCGUAAAGAGCUCGUAGGCGGUUUGUCGCGUCUGCUGUGAAAACGCGGGGCUCAACUCCGCGCCUGCAGUGGGUACGGGCAGACUAGAGUGCAGUAGGGGAGACUGGAAUUCCUGGUGUAGCGGUGGAAUGCGCAGAUAUCAGGAGGAACACCGGUGGCGAAGGCGGGGUCUCUGGGCUGUAACUGACGUGGAGGAGCGAAAGCGUGGGUAGCGAACAGG